rnacentral:misc_RNA from 1 species
AUCCCUUGAUUUCUUACGUGUUCCUGUAAAGAUUGAGGCAUCCACAAGACAAGGUAUUUUGCUUUGUAGAUGUAAUAGGGGGAGAAUUCCUCGCUAUUAUGUUUGCAAGCCUAGUACUAAAGAAUGGCAAAUCAUUCCAAAUCCUAAGACUCGAUAUUUCAAUGAAGUUUUUGCCAUGAUUGUGUUGAAAUCAAAUCCUUUGCACUACAGAAUAGUGAGAUUCUCAAGUCCUUGGGUGUAACAACCAGAAAAAAAAAAAAAGGG